UUGACGUAUGAGACGAUGCACACUUUUGAGCGUUUUGCAGGCAACGUCCAAGUACUGACAGUGUACUGCAGUGUACUUCUACUUAGCACUCAAAAGUGUAAGUACGCUAGCGCGCAAACAAUACAAUAUCUUGUCGUGGUCUGUGGUGCGCACACGCUUAUACCCUCCUGCCAUGACAUGGGUAAAAAGUCACAAGAAGACUAUCGUGGCCGUGCCUUGUUGUCUCGCUCUAUUUUUGAGAACUGGAUGGUUCCUCCGAGGGUGCAGAUGGGCAGACCAGCAGCUCUCCAGGGCAUCCUCCCGCGGCAGCCACAUUCUCCUCUGCCCGCAGACACAACUCCUGCAGGAAGUUAGCUGUCUCCAUCACCAGCUACGUGGUCGCGUGGUUAUGCGCGGGUCGUUCUCCCAAGAUGCAGCAGGAAACUCCGGAGGCAAGGUGCAGUUUUUUACAGCUGGAAUGGACCACAAAGAAUCGCCUGACCCUCAUGAAUUCAUCAUUUACAGAGAAGAC